rnacentral:tRNA from 1 species
GCGGAUGUAGCCAAGUGGAUCAAGGCAUU